rnacentral:tRNA from 1 species
GCGCGGAUAGUGUAGAGGUUAGCAUUUAUCCUUCCCAAGGAUGAGACCCGGGUUCGAGUCCCGGUUCGCGCA